rnacentral:rRNA from 1 species
UACGUAGGGUGCGAGCGUUAAUCGGAAUUACUGGGCGUAAAGCGUGCGCAGGCGGCGCGUUAAGACAGGUGUGAAAGCCCCGAGCUUAACUUGGGAAUUGCGCUUGUGACUGGCGUGCUGGAGUGUGGCAGAGGGAGGUGGAAUUCCACGUGUAGCAGUGAAAUGCGUAGAGAUGUGGAGGAACACCGAUGGCGAAGGCAGCCCCCUGGGUCAACACUGACGCUCAUGCACGAAAGCGUGGGGAGCAAACAGG